UGGUAAAAUGUGAUGUACCUAGUAAUAUUAGUGAUUAAUAUGAGGCUAACCGAGUUAGUUAAAAUUCUAAGUAUAUAUGUGAUUAUGACAAUAUGUGCUUAUUUCUUGACCAAGUCACGUGCCAGCCGUCGCGGUAAUACGUGGAAGAUCAGUGUUAUUCAUCUUUAUCAGGUUUAAAGGGUACCUAGACGGUUAAUUAAGCUUUAGUAGGAACUAAUUAACUAGAGUUUAAUGUAAGAAUGAUUGAGUACGGUGAGUGUAGAGAUAAAAUUCUGUCAUACCACUUAGGAACUGGUAAAAGCGAAGGCAACUUUCUAUGUAAAAACUGACGUUAAGGGACGAAGGCUCGUAUCAAAUAACAGGAUUAGAUACCCCAGCAUUGUGGGCAGACAAUGAUGAGUGUCAUAUGCAAGAGAUAAAAAAAAAAUAUUUUGUGUAUAAAUGAAAGUGUAAGCACUCCACCUCAAGAGUAACGUGGCAACAUGGGAACUGAAAUCAUUAGACCGUUUCUGAAACUCGUAGUGAAGUAUGUUGUUUAAUUAGAUGGUGCACAAAUAACCUUACCACAAUUUGUAUAACUAUAGUACAUAAUAAUAAUAUAGUUACAAGCGUUGCACGGCUGUCUUUAGUCUAUGUUGUGAAACUGUGGUUAGAUCCAUUAAAUAGACGUAAACCCUUACUUUAUUUAUUAUAAAGUAGUUCGCCGCUAUAUUGGUAGUGAUAUAAGGGACUAGGACAAGUCAUCAUGACCUGAACAUUGU
rnacentral:rRNA from 2 species